rnacentral:lncRNA from 1 species
UCUUAAUUGAGUUAUUUAUCGCGUUAGAUUGCGACGAGUGUGAAGGUGAAUUCUACGAGGAGGUAGAACCCUCUGACUGCGAAACCGAAGGCAAGUUGCAAAUUGAUAAUGCUUCGACCUAUAUUUCCAUACUAUGCAUAUCUCUUUAAAUUUUAAUGGUAUGCAUGUUUUAUAAAGGUUUUACAAAGUAUUAUUUAUAGCUAGAGCCAUAGGUUCAAGACCGACCACCAUGCUUGGCCACGCUUGCACAAAAUGGGUGGGAUGAAAACAAAACUUAUUUUAAACCUUUAAACUUGCUCUCCUUUUGGAGCAACGUUUGUGAAACUAUUUUGAAAAGAAAGAUUAUUUAUAUAUUAUUUUACAUCUACUCCCUGGGCGGAAUGGUAUUGAUGGGAGCGUCUACAAGUGAUUGCGCCCAUCGGGGUCUUGCAGUGAAUGCGCUCGACUGGGGUCUUGCACAUAGGUUUUUGGUGGGGACCGUCGUCCAGGGGACUGAGAUCUUCCAAGUACAGUUUGAUGUAGCUUCCAGUACAGCCACAUGCUACUAUGGGCUCUGGCUUAGCUUAGUACUAAUGGGAAACCCUACCCCAGGACCGCCAUCGGAGAGAGGCCUUCGUGCCGAAGUUGCGGGCGGCUUGGUGGUAUGGGGGGCUGUUACGGAAAGGCUUCAUCACAAUCUCCUCCUAGUCAUACACCCAAGUGUGUCACGAUAAACGGGGUUGGUUGUGUCAUGUGGGGAACGUGUACGACCUCUGCAGAGGGUUAAACCUAAUCGAUUAGUCGUGCCCCCGGUUACGGGCAAAUUUGAGCAACUGAAGACUUGGACUGAAGAAGAAUCUCCCCUCUCUUUUCUAAAAGUUUGUUUUAAGGGAAGGGAAAGUUGAGGAAUGAGCACAGUGAAUGUGUUUCACUUCAACCAUAUUUAUGUUUUACCAAAAUUUGGAGAAUGAGCACUGGUGCGUAUAUCCAUGUGUCGCACUCCUACCUUUUUAAACUAAAAAAACUAUUUCUGUUUCAAAAGUAGUUAACAAAAAUUAGUAUAGGAGAAAAUUGGCUUUAUGCAAAGGAAACCUCCACUAAUACUAUCUUGCAUAUAUAUUCUGUUAAACUUUCCUUUGCAACUUGCGAGUACAUUCCACGUACUCACCUGCACAUGUCAUGUGCAGAUCUUGACAGAUUAAAGGAUGAUAGGGUUAUGGUCUACACUCAACGAGCCCAGUGCGUUGAUGGAGUCCUAACUUAGCAACUACAUAUUAUUCCGCUGUAUUAUGUGCCAGCAUUGAGCAAUGUCAAUGGUAUGUAUUUGUUUAAUUCUGGAUGUACCGUUGUAGUAAAAUGAUGUAUGUUUUAUUGAUAUUCAUUCUUGUUACUGUGUGUGCUAGCUAUGAUGUAGGGAUAGCACAGUAAACACAAAGACUUGGAUUCUACGAAAUCCGGGUCGUGACAUCUUCUUCUAGCACUUGAGCACAAUUUUCCUUCCCAUCAUUCUCAGAAAGAUA